AUUAACGCUGGCGGCGUGCCUCAUCCCUGCCAGUCGAGCGAACAGACGAGGAGCUUGCUCCUCUGACGUUAGCGGCGGACGGGUGAGUAACACGUGGAUAACCUACCUAUAAGACUGGGAUAACUUCGGGAAACCGGAGCUAAUACCGGAUAAUAUAUUGAACCGCAUGGUUCAAUAGUGAAAGACGGUUUUGCUGUCACUUAUAGAUGGAUCCGCGCCGCAUUAGCUAGUUGGUAAGGUAACGGCUUACCAAGGCAACGAUGCGUAGCCGACCUGAGAGGGUGAUCGGCCACACUGGAACUGAGACACGGUCCAGACUCCUACGGGAGGCAGCAGUAGGGAAUCUUCCGCAAUGGGCGAAAGCUUGACGGAGCAACGCCGCGUGAGUGAUGAAGGUCUUCGGAUCGUAAAACUCUGUUAUUAGGGAAGAACAAAUGUGUAAGUAACUAUGCACGUCUUGACGGUACCUAAUCAGAAAGCCACGGCUAACUACGUG
rnacentral:rRNA from 1 species